rnacentral:rRNA from 1 species
UACGGAGGGAGCUAGCGUUGUUCGGAAUUACUGGGCGUAAAGCGCACGUAGGCGGCGAUUUAAGUCAGAGGUGAAAUCCCGGGGCUCAACCCCGGAACUGCCUUUGAAACUGGGAAGCUAGAAUCUUGGAGAGGCGAGUGGAAUUCCGAGUGUAGAGGUGAAAUUCGUAGAUAUUCGGAAGAACACCAGUGGCGAAGGCGACUCGCUGGACAAGUAUUGACGCUGAGGUGCGAAAGCGUGGGGAGCAAACAGG